rnacentral:misc_RNA from 1 species
GAAAUGCGAUAAGUAAUGUGAAUUGCAGAAUUCAGUGAAUCAUCGAAUCUUUGAACGCACAUUGCGCCCGCCAGUAUUCUGGCGGGCAUGCCUGUUCGAGCGUCAUUUCAACCAUCAAGCCCCGGGCUUGUGUUGGGGACCUGCGGCUCCCGCAGGCCCUGAAAACCAGUGGCGGGCUCGCUGUCACACCGAGCGUAGUAGAUUCUCAUCUCGCUCAGGGCGUGCUGCGGGUUCCGGCCGUAAAACAGCCUUAUUUUACCCAAGGUUGACCUCGGAUCAGGUAGGAAGACCCGCUGAACUUAAGC